AUACGUAGGGAGCGAGCGUUGUCCGGAAUUACUGGGCGUAAAGGGCGCGUAGGCGGCGCUUCAAGUCGUCUGUCAAAUGGGAGGGCUUAACCCUUUUUCGCAGACGAAACUGGAGAGCUUGAGAAGCAGAGAGGCAAACAGAAUUCCUGGUGUAGCGGUGAAAUGCGUAGAUAUCAGGAAGAAUACCAGUGGCGAAGGCGGUUUGCUGGCUGCAUACUGACGCUGAAGCGCGAAAGCCAGGGGAGCAAACGGGAUUAGAUACCCCGGUAGUCCUGGCAGUAAACGAUGUAUGCUGGGUGUGAGACUAGCGAUAGUUUCGUGCCGAAGUUAACGCGAUAAGCAUACCGCCUGGGGAGUACGGUCGCAAGAUUGAAACUUAAAUGAAUCGGCGGGG
rnacentral:rRNA from 1 species